rnacentral:rRNA from 1 species
AGGAUAAACGCUGGCGGCGUGCCUAACACAUGCAAGUCGAGCGAGGCUCCUCCUUCGGGAGGAUGCCCUAGCGGCGAACGGGUGAGUAACACGUGGGCAACCUGCCCCUAGCACUGGGAUAACCCCGGGAAACCGGGGCUAAUACCGGAUACGACUUCGGAAGGCAUCUUCUGAAGUGGAAAAGGUUACUGGCUAGGGAUGGGCCCGCGGCCUAUCAGCUUGUUGGUGGGGUAAUGGCCCACCAAGGCGACGACGGGUAGCCGGCCUGAGAGGGCGACCGGCCACACUGGGACUGAGACACGGCCCAGACUCCUACGGGAGGCAGCAGUGGGGAAUAUUGCACAAUGGGCGAAAGCCUGAUGCAGCGACGCCGCGUGAGGGAUGACGGCCUUCGGGUUGUAAACCUCUUUCAGCAGGGACGAAGCGAAGUGACGGUACCUGCAGAAGAAGCACCGGCCAACUACGUGCCAGCAGCCGC